GGUGGCUCAGUGGUAGAGUGCUUGCCUUGCAUGCAUAAGGCCCUGGGUUCAAUUCCUCAGCACCG
rnacentral:tRNA from 1 species